rnacentral:lncRNA from 10 species
UGUCUCACUGUCUCUGGUCAUGAAAUGUCUGUCAUUGUGGCCCGUUUCACACUGUCUCUAUAUCUGUUUCCCCUGAGAUCCGGGAUCAGUUGAAGGAAGAGGAGAUCCACAUCUACCAGUUCCCCGAAUGUGACUCUGAUGAAGAUGAAGACUUCAAGAGGCAGGAUGCAGAGAUGAAGGUGUGGGAAACAAAGAAGGAAGGCAGGCCGGGCACGGUGGCUCACGUCUGUAAUCCCAGCACUUUGGGAGGCUGAGACGGGAGGAUCCCCUGAGGUCAGGAGUUCCAGACCAGCCUGGGCAACAUGGCGAGACCCCACCUCUACUAAAAAUACACAAAUUUGCCAGGUG